CGGUCACGUUCAGAUGGUUCUCUUACGAUCGGGGAUCGGGGCCUGGAACCAACCCCGUGAACGAGGAAUUCCGGUAGGCGCGGGUCAUCAGCCCGCGUCGAUCACGUCCCUGCCCUUUGUACACACCGCCCGUCGCUACUACCGAUCGAACGGUCCGGUGAGGUCCUCGGAUCUGGCCGACGAGUCCGCUUACGCGCGGCGGCGUUACGCGCCGUCGUCGGCGCGUUCUCUGAUGGCCCGGAGAAGACGACCGAACCCGAUCGCUUAGAGGAAGUAAAAGUCGUAACAAGGUUUCCGUAGGUGAACCUGCGGAAGGAUCAUUAGCGCCCGCAGCAGUAGCG
rnacentral:lncRNA from 1 species